rnacentral:rRNA from 1 species
GACGAACGCUGGCGGCGUGCCUAAUACAUGCAAGUCGAACGCAUUUUCUUUCACCGUAGCUUGCUACACCGAAAGAAAAUGAGUGGCGAACGGGUGAGUAACACGUGGGUAACCUGCCCAUCAGCGGGGGAUAACACUUGGAAACAGGUGCUAAUACCGCAUAAUUCCAUUUACUGCAUGGUAGAUGGAUGAAAGGCGCUUUUGCGUCACUGAUGGAUGGACCCGCGGUGCAUUGGCUAGAUGGUGGGGUAACGGCCUACCAAGGCUGCGAUGCAUAGCCGACCUGAGAGGGUGAUAGGCCACACUGGGACUGAGACACGGCCCAGACUCCUAGGGGAGGGAGCCGGAGGGAAUCUUCGGCGAUGGACGCAAUGCUGACCGAGCAACGCCGCGUGAGUGAAGAAGGUUUUCGGAUCGUAAAACUCUGUUGUUAGAAAAGAACAAGAAUGAGAGUGGAAAGUUCAUCCCUUGACGGUAUCGAGCCAGAAAGCCACGGCUAACUACGUG